UACAGAGGAUGCAAGCGUUAUCCGGAAUGAUUGGGCGUAAAGCGUCUGUAGGUGGCUUUUUAAGUCCGCCGUCAAAUCCCAGGGCUCAACUCUGGACAGGCGGUGGAAACUACCAAGCUGGAGUACGGUAGGGGCAGAGGGAAUUUCCGGUGGAGCGGUGAAAUGCGUAGAGAUCGGGAAGAACGCCAAGGGCGAAGGCACUCUGCUAGGCCUGAUUUCGCGACUGACACUCAGGGACGAGAGCCAGGGGAGCGAAUGGG
rnacentral:rRNA from 1 species